GGGCCAGAUAAGCCAGAGUCCCAGGGUCUUGUUCACGCCCCAUUACCGCCCCCAGGUUCCUCGACCAAGGUCUGGACGACAACUAUUGCCGGAAUCCUGACGGCUCCGAGCGGCCAUGGUGCUACACUACGGAUCCGCAGAUCGAGCGAGAGUUCUGUGACCUCCCCCGCUGCGGGUCCGAGGCACAGCCCCGCCAAGAGGCCACAACUGUCAGCUGCUUCCGCGGGAAGGGUGAGGGCUACCGGGGCACAGCCAAUACCACCACCGCGGGCGUACCUUGCCAGCGUUGGGACGCGCAAAUCCCGCAUCAGCACCGAUUUACGCCAGAAAAAUACGCGUGCAAGUGAGGUGGGGGGGGCGGGCGUUGGGACGUGCUGCUGCGGGUGAGACGGGAGGAGGGUAGUCACGGGCUCAGGGCUGGAGGCUGGCGGGCUAGGGCUGAGUGGAGCGCCUGCUUAGAGACCUUCGGGAGAACUUCUGCCGGAACCCCGACGGCUCAGAGGCGCCCUGGUGCUUCACACUGCGGCCCGGCAUGCGCGUGGCCUUUUGCUACCAGAUCCGGCGUUGUACAGACGACGUGCGGCCCCAGGACUGCUACCACGGCGCAGGGGAGCAGUACCGCGGCACGGUCAGCAAGACCCGCAAGGGUGUCCAGUGCCAGCGCUGGUCCGCUGAGACGCCGCACAAGCCGCAGUUCACGUUUACCUCCGAACCGCAUGCACAACUGGAGGAGAACUUCUGCCGGAACCCAGAUGGGGAUAGCCAUGGGCCCUGGUGCUACACGAUGGACCCAAGGACCCCAUUCGACUACUGUGCCCUGCGACGCUGCGCUGAUGACCAGCCGCCAUCAAUCCU
rnacentral:sRNA from 1 species